rnacentral:rRNA from 1 species
UUUGAAAGGUAAUAAAAGCGUAACAAGGUUUCCGUAGGUGAACCUGCGGAAGGAUCAUUACAGUAUUCUUUUUGCCAGCGCUUAAUUGCGCGGCGAAAAAACCUUACACACAGUGUUUUUUGUUAUUACAAGAACUCUUGCUUUGGUCUGGACUAGAAAUAGUUUGGGCCAGAGGUUUACUAAACUAAACUUCAAUAUUUAUAUUGAAUUGUUAUUUAUUUUAAUUGUCAAUUUGUUGAUUAAAUUCAAAAAAUCUUCAAAACUUUCAACAACGGAUCUCUUGGUUCUCGCAUCGAUGAAGAACGCAGCGAAAUGCGAUAAGUAAUAUGAAUUGCAGAUUUUCGUGAAUCAUCGAAUCUUUGAACGCACAUUGCGCCCUUUGGUAUUCCAAAGGGCAUGCCUGUUUGAGCGUCAUUUCUCUCUCAAACCUUCGGGUUUGGUAUUGAGUGAUACUCUUAGUCGAACUAGGCGUUUGCUUGAAAUGUAUUGGCAUGAGUGGUACUGGAUAGUGCUAUAUGACUUUCAAUGUAUUAGGUUUAUCCAACUCGUUGAAUAGUUUAAUGGUAUAUUUCUCGGUAUUCUAGGCUCGGCCUUACAAUAUAACAAACAAGUUUGACCUCAAAUCAGGUAGGACUACCCGCUGAACUUAAGCAUAUCAUA